rnacentral:lncRNA from 1 species
AAAGAACAGGAGGGAAUGAGAGGUUCAGCCCCAUAGACCCUUUUCCCUGCCGCCAUCCACUCAGGGCAUUGUGCUUAGUGAAAGCCCAGUUUCCGCAGGGAUUACUUUGGGCACACAACAUUCUAGGAGCUGGAUGUCCAGGAAUUCCUGUUAAUUAGGCAUUUAUUCACGGAAUAAAUGUUUCCCUGAAGAGCUUUCUGCAGCUGGCCAAUGUUCCGGUUUGGUCGUGGGCAGUGAGAUGCCCAUUAGUCUAGAAUACACGACAGUGUGAGGCGCACGUUCACACGUGAAUUGCUCUUGAGAGAUGGCACAUGCCACUUUGUUUUGUAAAACAAAGGCCUAGAGAAGUGAGGGUCCUGGACUUUGACUCCAAAGCAUGUCUGGGACCCUGCACAUCUAACUCCUACCUAUGUCGCUGGUGGAACUUAUGCUCUUAACAAGGAGAUUUCUAUCCGAAUGUCCUGGGAAGUGCCUUCCAAUUCUUCCAUGAUUGCAUCUCUUGGAUGGUGGAGUGAGAAAUGAGAUUUAUCUUCUGAAGCCAAAACCCAUAUCUAACCGAUCAUGGCAUAUUUAGUGCUACAAAUGAAAUACAAAUAGAAAGACAUACUAAGCAUCCUUUCAAUUCUUCGUGACAAGAAGACCCUUCUGCAUCCAUAGCAACCAGGAAACACAGAAACAAGAACAUCCUUCAACCCUGAAUGAUUUCUGCAGUAAUGUCAUUUUAGAUUUUGUGCCUUGAACACAACUAUAGUUUUAUGUUUGCUUUUUGCAUAUAUUUUGUAUUUGUUUCAUAAAACAUGAAAGCAUUCUAAAAACACUAAAUAAUUCUCAUCUUACCCUCACCUCUACUAAUGAUGUUUCUUCCUGCUUCAAGCAUUCACAGCAUCUAUUGUUAUAUUUCUGAAAGAUUUGAAUUUUUUAAAAGUAGAGAUCUAAUAACAUGAGAGAAAUUUGAAAACAAGGUAAAAAGCCAUAAGCCUACCACUUUGACAGUGACAACCAUAUUUUUAUGUGCCCUUGCUGUUUUUACAACUCACGUGUGUUUAAAUAUUUUUUCAGACUAGUAUCUUUUGAAGAAGGUAGGUGUUCCAUUUCAUGAGGUCCACAAACAUAAAAGAGGAAAUUUGGCUUCAAAAACUCCCUUGUAACACAUGUACGUUAAAAUUUUGUCGUAGAGCUGUUCUGAUACUUUUCUAAGUAAUUAAAGCUUGCCCUUUUAAAUUAAACAAAUAUAAAAAGUUAUUUUUCACUUU